GCACUUCCCAAACUCACAUGACCAAACCAGUGGAAUAAAAUAUAAAAUGGAGGAACUCUGAAUAAAUCGAUACCUUGAAUUUUAUUUCAUUUUAAACGGAAGCUCAAAUGCGGCUUCGAAGCAUUUUGAAUAAAUUUUGCCUAAUAUUUUGAAAUUAAUAUAAUUUAGUAUCAUGUGUCUAUUAGACAGAUUUAGAAAAGACGACGCGACCUCAAAGACGACGUGGAUGGCGUCAUUUGGCGCCAACUAUCGUCAGCUUCUGAUUUGCCACGUCGUCUUGGACAAUUUCACGACGCGAAAAUUCAAUUUUCACGUCCUCUCUA